GGAGGGGGUCCCCUUCCUCCCUUACUGCUCCUCGUGUGUCCCUGCCAAAGCUGGGUGCUGGGUGGGAAAGGAUGACCUUCUCCGAACAGAGGUGGACUGGUCUUUGGUCAAGGGUAUAUGAGUAGUUGUACUCCCCUGAUAGAACCUCCAAACAAGACACUCAGCUCAUGGGCUGGAGAGAUGGCUUAGACGUUAAGGCACAUGCCUGGGAAGCCUAAGGACCCAGGUUUGAUCCUCCAG
rnacentral:sRNA from 1 species